rnacentral:rRNA from 1 species
AGCCCAGAGCCUGAAUCAGUGUGUGUGUUAGUGGAAGCGUCUGGAAAGGCGCGCGAUACAGGGUGACAGCCCCGUACACAAAAAUGCACAUGCUGUGAGCUCGAUGAGUAGGGCGGGACACGUGGUAUCCUGUCUGAAUAUGGGGGGACCAUCCUCCAAGGCUAAAUACUCCUGACUGACCGAUAGUGAACCAGUACCGUGAGGGAAAGGCGAAAAGAACCCCGGCGAGGGGAGUGAAAAAGAACCUGAAACCGUGUACGUACAAGCAGUGGGAGCCUCUUUAUGGGGUGACUGCGUACCUUUUGUAUAAUGGGUCAGCGACUUAUAUUCUGUAGCAAGGUUAACCGAAUAGGGGAGCCGAAGGGAAACCGAGUCUUAACUGGGCGUUAAGUUGCAGGGUAUAGACCCGAAACCCGGUGAUCUAGCCAUGGGCAGGUUGAAGGUUGGGUAACACUAACUGGAGGACCGAACCGACUAAUGUUGAAAAAUUAGCGGAUGACUUGUGGCUGGGGGUGAAAGGCCAAUCAAACCGGGAGAUAGCUGGUUCUCCCCGAAAGCUAUUUAGGUAGCGCCUCGUGAACUCAUCUCCGGGGGUAGAGCACUGUUUCGGCAAGGGGGUCAUCCCGACUUACCAACCCGAUGCAAACUGCGAAUACCGGAGAAUGUUAUCACGGGAGACACACGGCGGGUGCUAACGUCCGUCGUGAAGAGGGAAACAACCCAGACCGCCAGCUAAGGUCCCAAAGUCAUGGUUAAGUGGGAAACGAUGUGGGAAGGCCCAGACAGCCAGGAUGUUGGCUUAGAAGCAGCCAUCAUUUAAAGAAAGCGUAAUAGCUCACUGGUCGAGUCGGCCUGCGCGGAAGAUGUAACGGGGCUAAACCAUGCACCGAAGCUGCGGCAGCGAC